rnacentral:rRNA from 1 species
GACGAACGCUGGCGGCAUGCCUAAUACAUGCAAGUCGAGCGAACAGAUGAAGUGCUUGCGCUUCUGACGUUAGCGGCGAACGGGUGAGUAACACGUAAGGAAUCUACCUAUAAGCGGGGGAUAACAUUCGGAAACGGGUGCUAAUACCGCAUAAUAUCUUCUUCCGCAUGGAAGAAGAUUGAAAGACGGCACUGCUGUCAAUUAUAGAUGACCUUGCGGUGCAUUAGUUAGUUGGUGGGGUAAUGGCGUACCAAGACGAUGAUGCAUAGCCGACCUGAGAGGGUGAUCGGCCACAUUGGGACUGAGACACGGCCCAAACUCCUACGGGAGGCGGCAGUAGGGAAUCUUCCGCAAUGGGCGAAAGCCUGACGGAGCAAUGCCGCGUGAGUGAAGAAGGCCUUCGGGUCGUAAAACUCUGUUAUAAGAGAAGAACAAAUUGUAGAGUAACUGCUACAGUCUUGACGGUAUCUUAUCAGAAAGCCACGGCUAACUACGUGCCAGCCGCCGUAGUAA